CGGCCGGGAACUCAAAGGAGACUGCCAGUGAUAAACUGGAGGAAGGUGGGGAUGACGUCAAGUCAUCAUGGCCCUUACGACCAGGGCUACACACGUGCUACAAUGGCAUAUACAAAGAGAAGCGACCUCGCGAGAGCAAGCGGACCUCAUAAAGUAUGUCGUAGUCCGGAUUGGAGUCUGCAACUCGACUCCAUGAAGUCGGAAUCGCUAGUAAUCGUGGAUCAGAAUGCCACGGUGAAUACGUUCCCGGGCCUUGUACACACCGCCCGUCACACCAUGGGAGUGGGUUGCAA
rnacentral:rRNA from 1 species